rnacentral:rRNA from 1 species
GUAGGGAAUAUUGGACAAUGGGGGCAACCCUGAUCCAGCGACGCCGCGUGAGUGACGAAGGCCUUCGGGUCGUAAAGCUCUGUUGCAAGGGAAAAACAAAAUGAUGGUACCUUGCUAGAAAGGAUCGGCUAACUUCGUGCCAGCAGCCGCGGUAAGACGAGGGAUCCUAGCGUUGUUCGGAAUUAUUGGGCGUAAAGCGGGUGUAGGUGGCUUUGUAAGUCAGGUGUGAAAGCCUGGGGCUUAACCCCAGAAGUGCAUUUGAUACUGCGAAGCUUGAGUGCUGGAGAGGCUACUAGAAUUCUUGGUGUAGUGGUGAAAUACGUAGAUAUCAAGAGGAAUACCGGAGGCGAAGGCGGGUAGCUGGCCAGACACUGACACUCAGACCCGAAAGCGUGGGGAUCAAACAGGAUUAGAUACCCGUGUAGUCC